ACAUUUGGUAGAGGCUGAGAGGCACCUGGUCCCAGCAGACCCCAGAGAACAACCACAUUCACUGGUGCUGGAACAAGGUGGCUGGGGUGAAGCCUGUUGCCAGAUGUG
rnacentral:rRNA from 1 species